AAGAAAAUCGUGCGAGGCGGCCCCGGGCAUCGCCAGGUGGCCGCUUAGACACUAAUACCCCCUGUAUAUAUACCAUGUUGCUUUGGUGGGACGGCAGCCAGCAGCCCCGCUGGGAACCUGUCCGCAGGGCCCCUCAAGGCCCCGUGAGCGCCCGCCAGAGGACCAUCAAACUCAUGUUAAACCGUGAUGUCUGAGCUUUACAAGCAAUAAGUUA
rnacentral:misc_RNA from 1 species